rnacentral:rRNA from 1 species
AAAAAAGGUAAGCUACUAAGAGCGAAUGGUGGAUGCCUUGACUGGUAAAGGCGAUGAAGGACGUACUAGACUGCGAUAAGCUACGGGGAGCUGUCAAGAAGCUUUGAUCCGUAGAUUUCCGAAUGGGGCAACCCAAUGUAUAGAGAUAUACAUUACCUAUAUAGGAGCGAACGAGGGGAAUUGAAACAUCUUAGUACCCUCAGGAAAAGAAAUCAAUAGAGAUUGCGUCAGUAGCGGCGAGCGAAAGCGCAAGAGGGCAAACCCAGUGCUUGCACUGGGGGUUGUAGGACUGCAAUGUGCAAGAGGUAAGUUUAGCAGAACAUUCUGGAAAGUAUAACCAUAGAGGGUGAUAGUCCCGUAUGCGAAAAACAAACCUUAGCUAGCAGUAUCCUGAGUAGGGCGGGACACGAGGAAUCCUGUCUGAAUCCGGGUCGACCACGAUCCAACCCUAAAUACUAAUACCAGAUCGAUAGUGCACAAGUACCGUGAGGGAAAGGUGAAAAGAACUGAGGUGAUCAGAGUGAAAUAGAACCUGAAACCAUUUGCUUACAAUCAUUCAGAGCCCUAUGUAGCAAUACAGGGUGAUGGACUGCCUUUUGCAUAAUGAGCCUGCGAGUUGUGGUGUCUGGCAAGGUUAAGCAAACGCGAAGCCGUAGCGAAAGCGAGUCUGAAUAGGGCGCUUAGUCAGAUGCUGCAGACCCGAAACGAAGUGAUCUAUCCAUGAGCAAGUUGAAGCUAGUGUAAGAACUAGUGGAGGACUGAACCCAUAGGCGUUGAAAAGCCCCGGGAUGACUUGUGGAUAGGGGUGAAAGGCCAAUCAAACUUCGUGAUAGCUGGUUCUCUCCGAAAUAUAUUUAGGUAUAGCGUUGUGUCGUAAUAUAAGGGGGUAGAGCACUGAAUGGGCUAGGGCAUACACCAAUGUACCAAACCCUAUCAAACUCCGAAUACCUUAUAUGUAAUCACAGCAGUCAGGCGGCGAGUGAUAAAAUCCGUCGUCAAGAGGGAAACAACCCAGACUACCAGCUAAGGUCCCUAAAUCUUACUUAAGUGGAAAACGAUGUGAAGUUACUUAAACAACCAGGAGGUUGGCUUAGAAGCAGCCAUCCUUUAAAGAAAGCGUAAUAGCUCACUGGUCUAGUGAUUUUGCGCGGAAAAUAUAACGGGGCUAA